rnacentral:rRNA from 1 species
AUUGAACGCUGGCGGCAUGCCUUACACAUGCAAGUCGAACGGCAGCGGGCCCUUCGGGGUGCCGGCGAGUGGCGAACGGGUGAGUAAUGCAUCGGAACGUACCCGGGAGAGGGGGAUAACCGGCCGAAAGGCUGGCUAAUACCGCAUGAACUCGGAAGAGCAAAGCGGGGGACCUUCGGGCCUCGCGCUCUCGGAGCGGCCGAUGUCCGAUUAGGCUAGUUGGUGGGGUAAAGGCCCACUAAGGCGACGAUCGGUAGCGGGUCUGAGAGGACGAUCCGCCACACUGGGACUGAGACACGGCCCAGACUCCUACGGGAGGCAGCAGUGGGGAAUCUUGGACAAUGGGCGCAAGCCUGAUCCAGCAAUGCCGCGUGGGUGAAGAAGGCCUUCGGGUUGUAAAGCCCUUUCGGCGGGGAAGAAAUCGGUCAGGCGAAUAGUCUGGCCGGAUGACGGUACCCGCAGAAGAAGCACCGGCUAACUACGUG